rnacentral:rRNA from 1 species
AAGCGGAGGAAAAGAAACUAACAAGGAUUCCCCUAGUAACUGCGAGUGAAGCGGGAAAAGCUCAAAUUUAAAAUCUGGCGGUCCUUGUGGCCGUCCGAGUUGUAAUUUAGAGAAGUGUUAUCCGCGCUGGACCGUGUACAAGUCUCCUGGAAUGGAGCGUCAUAGAGGGUGAGAAUCCCGUCUUUGACACGGACUACCAGGGCAUUGUGAUGCGCUCUCGAAGAGUCGAGUUGUUUGGGAAUGCAGCUCAAAAUGGGUGGUAAAUUCCAUCUAAAGCUAAAUAUUGAGGAGAGACCGAUAGCGAACAAGUACCGUGAGGGAAAGAUGAAAAGAACUUUGGAAAGAGAGUUAAACAGUACGUGAAAUUGCUGAAAGGGAAACGCUUGAAGUCAGUCGCGUUGUUCAGAACUCAGCCCGGCUUUUGCUUGGUGUACUUUCUGUUCGACGGGUCAGCAUCAGUUUUGGUCAGCGGAUAAAGGCUUAGAGAAUGUGGCAUCUUCGGGUGUGUUAUAGCUCUGGGUUGUAUACGUUGGCUGGGACUGAGGAACUCAGCACGCCGAAAGGCCGGGUACUUGUACCACGUUCGUGCUUAGGAUGCUGGCAUAAUGGCUUUAAUCGACCCGUCUUGAA